GCGAGAGUGGCGGAAUUGGCAGACGCGCUGGACUUAGGAUCCAGUACCGAAAGGUUUGUGGGUUCAAAUCCCACCUCUCGCACCA
rnacentral:tRNA from 1 species